UACCGUUUUCUACCUCUAACUAGUUCUAUAACCUUAGAUAGAGAGGUACAGCUGAAUAUAACCAAAACUCUUUGGGCUGCAUCUUCUACAUCUGUUAAAAGCAAACAAGAAUACUCAAGCUGUGUUCUCACAGUACAGUUGAAGCAAGACAACGAAUGUAGAGGUAAUCCAGUAUUGAUAAUUCCUCUGGAAAGGAAAGGUCAUACUAUGGUAGCAGACUGAAGAACAGUUCUUAAAAAUAACCCUAUUCCCUUUGUAUCUUUAGUUUCUUUUAUAUUAAAGGAAGGGGGAGAAAUAAGUGGGGAGAAAGACUUUGCAACUUGACCUCAGGUAAUAGGAAUUUAUUGAUUUAACUUUAAUUAUCUCUUGUGUGUAUGCUUACAAUAUAUCUAUCAUAUGUAUUGCUAAGUACAGUAGACUCAUAUUUGAUUGAGAUUUUGAUCCUCACUCAAAAUCUGAAAAUUUAAUUAGGGGCACAGAUGAGAAAAUAGACAAUUUUAAUACAGUGUGAUAAGUGCCAUGAUUAAAACAUGCAUGCAUCAUUAUCGAAAGCACAGAGUGGGCCUUUGGAACUGACCUAAGAGAUAAGCUAAAGAAGACUUCUCAGAGGUGUUAAUCCUCAGCCAAGUCUUGAAGAACCAAAAUUUGAAUGUUGAAGUUCAUAUUCUUGUUUGGUCUUCCAGCUCAUGUAGAGCAGAAAGUUAGCAAGGGUGACAGGCAGUCAUGUUGUAGGUUCUGAAGGAUGUGAGCCUACCUGCAGGGUAUUAUGACAUGGGGAAUGAGAAGCAAGAAUGAGGCAUUCACUGUCAGGCUAGAAAUGAGCUCACUAUGGCUCGGGGCCAUGCCUGAAGGAUCAAGAAGCAGACCCCAGCGGAACAAAGGGGGCACCUUUGCAGUGUCUUAUUUUCAUGGAUAACAACAUUAACAUUCAGAGGAAGAUGAAUGAAAUUCAUACUGCCUCCAAUGUGCCAACGUGGAAUAGUUUACUGUCAAGUACCAGAACCACACAUUAAGCCUCCCCUUUCAGCCCUGGACUCAUACAAUAUAGCUCUCUCAACUAAAAAGUGGUGUGUAUGUAAAAGGUAUCAACAUUGUUAAUUGCCUCACUC
rnacentral:lncRNA from 12 species